AAACAGCAGUGAAAUAAGUCAGCUGAUCUCAGUCUGCUGUCACGCACCGCAGCAACCAGCGUUUCUCUCUCGAGGCAAGACACUAAACCACCACUCCACACCAAGACGUUGGAUUUAUAAACCGUGAAGAUGGACAUGUCCAACCUGCCCAGGAUCAGGGACGAGGAGAGGGAGAGCGAGUUUGGAUUCGUCCAUGGAGUCUCCGGACCAGUGGUGACGGCGACAGCCAUGGCGGGAGCAGCCAUGUACGAGC